ACGCAGAUAGAACACUGACAGAACAUGAAGGACAGUCUGAAACAGUCCGUUACCUUCGUGGGCAGCAGCGUGUGAGGCCCAGAGCUGAGCCAUCUGAUUGGGUGAUCUGUAGGCUGGGUCAGAGGUUAGGGGGGAGGGGCCGGAAUAGCCCGGCAGGAAGGGACUGGAGGCUGCUGGGAAGGCAUCACCUGGAGGGAUGAGAUACGGAGACAUUGCAGCUUUAUUGAGACGAGACACACAGACACAUACAGUAGUCAAUACAGACUGACAUCAUACUAGAGGUCGACAGAUUAUGACAUCAUCACACCCAUCCAGAAUACAUCCCAGAGGCCUGGAGGAACAAGAUCAAAACACUAAAAAGGACAAAAACAGGAGAAAAAAAGCCCCGUGGCCCUGAGCCUACUCUCCGAGGGUAAAGGCCCCGCGGCCCUGAGCCUACUCUCCGAGGGUAAAGGCCCCGCGGCCCUGAGCCUACUCUCCGAGGGUAAAGGCCCCGCGGCCCUGAGCCUACUCUCCGAGGGUAAAGGCCCCGCGGCCCUGAGCCUACUCUCCGAGGGUAAAGGCCCCGCGGCCCUGAGCCCAGUCUCCGAGGGUAAAGGCCCCGCCCCACGGCCCUGAGCCUACUCUCCGAGGGUAAAUGCCCCGUGGCCCUGAGCCUACUCUCCAAGGGUAAAGGCCCCGCAGCCCUGAGCCUACUCUCCGAGGGUAAAGGCCCUGAGGGUGUCUCAUGGGCACAAAACACAGUUCCAUUUAACACCUCACACUGUACAGGUCACCAACUAUUUGACAUUUUGAACCCCUGAAGACAACGCAGCCAAGCCUCGGGGUUAGUGUGUGAGUGUGUGUGUGUGUGUGUGUG
ensembl:lncRNA